rnacentral:rRNA from 1 species
GUCUUUUAGAAUUUAAUUUAAAGUCUAACCUGCCCACUGAAUUAUUUUUAAAGGGCCGCAGUAUCCUAACUGUGCAAAGGUAGCAUAAUCAUUAGUCUUUUAAUUGAAGGCUGGAAUGAAUGGUUGGAUGAAAUAUUAACUGUUUCAUAAAAAUUAAAAAUAGAAUUUUAUUUUUUAGUCAAAAAGCUAAAAUAUAAUUAAAAGACGAGAAGACCCUAUAAAUCUUUAUAUUUUAGUAAUUUUAAUUAUUUAGAUAAAUUAAGUUAUAAUUAUUUAAAAUAUUUUAUUGGGGUGAUAUUAAAAUUUAAUAAACUUUUAAUUUAUAAUUAACAUAAAUUAAUGAAUUAUUGAUCCAUUUAUUAUGAUUAAAAAAUUAAGUUACUUUAGGGAUAACAGCGUAAUUUUUUUAGAGAGUUCAUAUUGAUAAAAAAGAUUGCGACCUCGAUGUUGGAUUAAGAUAUAAUAUUAGGUGCAGCAGCUUAAUUUUAAAGUCUGUUCGACUUUUAAAUUCU